rnacentral:rRNA from 1 species
AGAGUUUGAUCCUGGCUCAGGACGAACGCUGGCGGCGUGUUUAACACAUGCAAGUCGAACGGAAAUGCCCUUCGGGGUACUCGAGUGGCGAACGGGUGAGUAACACGUGGGUGAUGUGCCCUGCACUUUGGGAUAAGCCUGGGAAAUUGGGUCUAAUACCGAAUAUGACCAUGCACUUCCUGGUGUGUGGUGGAAAGCUUUUGCGGUGUGGGAUGGGCCCGCGGCCUAUCAGCUUGUUGGUGGGGUAAUGGCCUACCAAGGCGACGACGGGUAGCCGGCCUGAGAGGGUGACCGGCCACACUGGGAUUGAGAUACGGCCCAGACUCCUUCGGGAGGCAGCAGUGGGGAAUAUUGCACAAUGGGCGCAAGCCUGAUGCAGCGACGCCGCGUGAGGGAUGACGGCCUUCGGGUUGUAAACCUCUUUCAGCACAGACGAAGCGCAAGUGACGGUAUGUGCAGAAGAAGGACCGGCCAACUACGUGCCAGCAGCCGCGGUAAUACGUAGGGUCCGAGCGUUGUCCGGAAUUACUGGGCGUAAAGAGCUCGUAGGUGGUUUGUCGCGUUGUUCGUGAAAACUCACAGCUUAACUGUGGGCGUGCGGGCGAUACGGGCAGACUUGAGUACUGCAGGGGAGACUGGAAUUCCUGGUGUAGCGGUGGAAUGCGCAGACAUCAGGAGGAACACCGGUGGCGAAGGCGGGUCUCUGGGCAGUAACUGACGCUGAGGAGCGAAAGCGUGGGGAGCGAACAGGAUUAGAUACCCUGGUAGUCC